AAGUCGUAACAAGGUCUCCGUUGGUGAACCAGCGGAGGGAUCAUUACAGAGUUAUAAAAAACUCCCAAACCCAUGUGAACUUACCAUCGUUGCCUCGGCGGAGCUACCCUGUAGCGAAGUUACCCUGUAGCGAGUUACCCUGUAACGACCUACCCUGUAACGACCUACCCUGUAGCCAUCCGCCGGUGGACCUUUAAACUCUUGUUAUUUUAUGGACAUCUGAGCGUCUUAUUUUAAUAAGUCAAAACUUUCAACAACGGAUCUCUUGGUUCUG
rnacentral:misc_RNA from 1 species